AGUAAAAUUUUAAUUUAACUUUUUAAUUAAUUAAAAUAAUAAUAAAUAUAUUUACAGUUAAUUUAAUAAAAAUAAAAUAAUUUAUAAAAUAAUAAAAAUUUGUAUUGUAAAAGAAAUUAAAUAUUAAUUAAACUAAAAGAUAAAUUAUAAUUUUUACCUUUUGUAUCAGGGUUAAUUAAAAUAUUUUAAUUAAAAUUAAAUAUUUCGAAAUUAAUUGAGUUAAAAUUUAAAUUUAUUUAAUGUAAUAAAAUUAUUAAAAAUUAAAUUUUAGUAAUUAAAUGUUAUUCGUAAUUAAUUAUAUCUAAUUUUUUAAUAAAUGAAUUCAAUUCAAAAGUUUAAUUUUACUAUUAAUAAUUUAAAUUAUUAAUAAUUAAUAAAUUUUAAAAUUUUAAGGGAUAAACUUUAAAAUUAAUAUUAUAAAUUAACUAAAAUUAAAAAUUUUUAAAUAUAAUUUAAAAUUUUAAUUUUUUGAAAAUAUUUAAUAAUUUAAAGUAUAAUUUAAAUUAAUAAUUUAAAAUAAAAUUUUAAUAAAUUUAUUAAAAUAUAAAUUUUAAUUUUAUAAAUUUAGUAAUAAUGAUUAAAUUAGUAAAUUAAAUUUUAUAUAAAUAAUUAAUUUUAAAUUAAAAAUUAAUUUAAUGAAUUAGGCAAAAUAAAAUAUUUACCUGUUUAUUAAAAACAUGUCUUUAAAUAUUAAAUUUAAAGUCUAAUCUGCUCAAUGAAAAUUUUAAAUAGCUGCAGUAUUUUAACUGUACCAAGGUAGCAUAAUAAUUUGUCUUUUAAUUAAAGAAUUGAAUGAACGAUUUAAUAAAAUAUUAACUUUAUAAAUUUAAUUAAUAUUUAAAUUUUAUUUUUAAGUAAAAAAUCUUAAAUUUAAUUAUUAGACGAUAAGACCCUAUAAAACUUUAUAUUUAUUAAAAUUUAAUAAAAAAUUUAUUAUAAUAUUAAUUUAGUAAAAUAUUAUAUUGGGGCUAUAAAAAAAUUAAAUUAAUUUUUUUAUUAAAUUUUACAUUUAUAAAUGAAAUAUAAAAUAAGAGUGUUAAUUAUAAAAUAUUAGAAUAAGUUACUUUAGGGAUAACAGCAUAAUUUUUUUAAAUAGAUCAUAUUGAUAAAAAAGAUUAUGACCUCGAUGUUGAAUUAAGAUAAAUUUUAAAAGAAGAUUUUUUUAAAUUAAGUCUGUUCGACUUUUAAAAUCUUACAUGAUUUGAGUUAAAAUCGGUGUAAGCCAGAUUGGUUUUUAUCUUUAAUAAAUUUAUAAAUAUUUGUACGAAAGGACUUUAUUUAUUAAAUAAUUAAAAUUAAAUAAAUUGAAUAAAAUAAAAUAAAAUUAAAUAAAAUUAAAUAUUUAAAUAAUAAAAUGUUAA
rnacentral:rRNA from 1 species